CACGUAGGGCGCAAGCGUUGUCCGGAAUUAUUGGGCGUAAAGAGCUCGUAGGCGGUCUGUUGCGUCUGCUGUGAAAACUCGGGGCUUAACCCCGAGCCUGCAGUGGAUACGGGCAAACUAGAGGUAGGUAGGGGAGAAUGGAAUUCCCGGUGUAGCGGUGAAAUGCGCAGAUAUCGGGAGGAACACCAGUGGCGAAGGCGGCGAUCUGGGAACAUACUGACGCUGAGGUGCGAAAGCGUGGGGAGCAAACAGG
rnacentral:rRNA from 1 species